UGCAGCUUUGUGAUGAGAAGUGUGCGUCCAAACGAUAUGGUUCCAGGCUCAGUCUUACUGUAUGACACCUCAGGCAUGUGUCUUCUGCUACAGCCCCAGGACAACCAAAGUCAUAUUUACUUGAGACCUGCAAUUAAUGUGAAUCUGGAGUUUAUCGAGUGCAGUACAACCAGUACAGUGUGUGUUCCUAGGUACAGCCUUGGGACUCGAGGUAUAUUCAGUCAGGCACUUGUGAUUGUAUAUGCAACUGGAAAAUAAAUCCGUCUUUACUUCGGAAUGGCUUGAUUUUUUGGUGAAUAGUCCAACAACAUUGGAGAGGACAAAGAUUACUGUUUCGUUGAGGAAAAGUUAGCUGACAUGGAGUACUGGAAACUAUAUGAAUACUCGGAAAGAGUUACUUGUAUCAUAACAAUUUGUACUAGCUAUCAAAAUGCCAACAUCAUGGCUGCUGCUCCAUGAUCCAUGGACACUGUAUUCUAUUAUUUUUUUACUUGUUUUAGUCAUUUGAUUGUGGCCAUGCUGGAGUACCGCCUUUUGUCAAACAAAUCAACCCCAGGACUUAUUCUUUGUAAGCCUAGUACUUAUUUUAUUGGCCUCUUUUGCGAAGCUGCUAAGUUACGGGGAUGUAAACAUACCAACAUUGGACUCCAAGCGAUGGUAGGGGAACAAACAUAGAUUCACAAACAUACACACACACACACACACACACACGCACGCACAUGCACACACACACACACACACACACACACAUAUAUAUUUACAACAGGCAUCUUUCAGCUUUCAUCUACCAAAUCCACAUUGGUCAGCUCGAAGCUAUAGAAGAAGAUACUUGCCCAAGGUGCUAUGCAGUGGGACUGAAACCAGAGCCAUGUGGUUGGUAAGCAAGCUACUUACCACAGAGCCACUCCUGCACCUAGGUAUAGGCUUUAAGAUGUGACGUGGACAUCAUGCAAACCAAGUUCUCUCAAACAUGGACAUCAUGGAGUGUCCUUUAAAUGUGAAGUCAUAGCAUUUCUUUUCUUUGAACAGGACCUUAGGACCAAUUCAGCCAGCUACGAGAAGUUACUGGAGACUAAGGUCAAAGCUUCACUGGAGAGGGAUUCUGUAGGAAGGCUAAAUGUGUGGCAGCAGGAUUCGGCUCCUUGCCAUACUUCCAGAAAAAGUCAGAAGAGAAUCUCUAUGACUACACCAACCCCAAUUUUUGGUUUCCUAAUUCUUCUGAUUGUAAUUCCAUGGAUUACUUUGUGUCGGACAUAGUUGAAAAAAGACGCCAACCGCUCUAUUUGCAACACCAAGGUUGAAUUGGUGGCCAAGAUUGGGAAGAUGUUCAAAGGUCUUCCUAGGGAUACAGUGAUGAAUGCAUGUGCCAGGUUCCAGAGCCGUGCCUGAGGCUGUGGUGUAAACUGAGAGCAGCAUCUUUGAAUGAACAGUUA